UCGAGCGAGUCUGCCUUGAAGAUCGGAGUGCUUGCACUCUGUGAAACAAGAUACAGGCUAGCGGCGGACGGGUGAGUAACACGUGGGUAACCUGCCCAAGAGAUCGGGAUAACACCUGGAAACAGAUGCUAAUACCGGAUAACAACAGAUGAUGCCUAUCAACUGUUUAAAAGAUGGUUCUGCUAUCACUCUUGGAUGGACCUGCGGUGCAUUAGCUAGUUGGUAGGGUAACGGCCUACCAAGGCGAUGAUGCAUAGCCGAGUUGAGAGACUGAUCGGCCACAUUGGGACUGAGACACGGCCCAAACUCCUACGGGAGGCAGCAGUAGGGAAUCUUCCACAAUGGACGCAAGUCUGAUGGAGCAACGCCGCGUGAGUGAAGAAGGGUUUCGGCUCGUAAAGCUCUGUUGUUGGUGAAGAAGGACAGGGGUAGUAACUGACCUUUGUUUGACGGUAAUCAAUUAGAAAGUCACGGCUAACUACGUGCCAGCAGCCGCGGUAAUACGUAGGUGGCAAGCGUUGUCCGGAUUUAUUGGGCGUAAAGCGAGUGCAGGCGGCUCGAUAAGUCUGAUGUGAAAGCCUUCGGCUCAACCGGAGAAUUGCAUCAGAAACUGUCGAGCUUGAGUACAGAAGAGGAGAGUGGAACUCCAUGUGUAGCGGUGAAAUGCGUAGAUAUAUGGAAGAACACCGGUGGCGAAGGCGGCUCUCUGGNNNGUUACUGACGCUGAGGCUCGAAAGCAUGGGUAGC
rnacentral:rRNA from 1 species